GUUUAUUUUUAUUACAUGGCAAUAAUGCCACUAAGAUAUCCACAGUCUAAGAAAAGAAAGAAAGUAAAAUUCAUUACAUGCAUUUUUAGAUUAAAGGGAUAAGUGGCUUACAUUAGUACAAACACGUCUUUUUCUUUGACUUUCCACAGUCCACAAUUCAUGGCUAUUUAAUAUAGCAGCUCGAGGAUACAUGUAAUUUUAAUAUAAACAUAAUUUCUGUAUAUACUCACUGAAGAAGACCAUACACUUGAUCGUGGAUCAAAUUAAUCGAUGGAAUUGUAAUUAUUAUAUUGAAAUGCAUGACAGUGGAAGCUUGAAUAAUACCACUUGCAGGUAUUAUAUAAAAGUAAUUCGUUAAAUUUACUUUUUCAACUUUAUUUUCUUCGUUAACUUGUACAUGACGUUUAUCCCAAUGGAAGAACACAUACAUUUGGCUGCACGUAGAAUAUAAAAUGUAAGAAUUCAUUCAUUCCAAUACAAUAAUGAUACAAGAGCACUUGAAAUAUUUAAAAUAUAUUUUACCCAGUAUUAGUUAUAGAUAUUUUCUUGUUUAUAACUUCAAACUCACUCGAUAAAUUUGUUUGUAAAUUUAAAUGAUAGUGAGCAACAGCUUGUGCAUCGAUCUUUGUCAAAAAUAAUAUUGUCUCUUUUGAUUGCUGGAAAAAUAUUGUUUAAAAAGUAAUAUAUAAAUCAUUUCUAAAAUAUACUUACACUGUUAAUUUGCAAGAUCUGUGGCUCGUAGAUAAUACCAUCACCGAUUAAUUCGAUAGAUUUAAUCGAAUAAUUGUCACUAAUAACGUAUAAUGUUUCGACCUGAAAAUGAUCAUUAUAUUAUUUAAGAUUCUUUUGAUAUACAUUUUGCUAAAAAUUACGUGCACUCCGUAAGAUUCAGGAAAGAAAUAUAUAUGAACAAAUACAUCCUCUUGCGUCUUCAAAACAAAAUAUGCUGGCCAUACAGCAAAAUAUUGUAAAGUUAGUAUAUUAAUAUCUGUGAUAUCCUAUAGAAAGAAAUGAUUAUUUAUUAUUUUUUUAUCAUAAUAAUUAUUAGAAUAUGUAAAAAAUUACUUACUUCUAUAAACAUACUAUACCAAUCGAUUUCACUUAUUACAAUGAACUUUCCAUCUAUUCCAGUGUUUCUAAAUCUAAUUUGAAAUGCAAUCUGUUCGCCAACGAAACACUUUCCGCAAUCAAAAAUCAUGUUGGAGUAAUCAACAUUUGUUAACGAUCUUUCACUGUAAUAAUAUUUAUCAAAUUCAUCGAUAGUACUAGAAUACUAAAAAAGGAUAAGAUUUUAUGUAUUAGGAAUUAGAAGAUAUAUGAAAUAGAAUAUUAAUAAUAUUAUACUUGGGUUGUAUAUGAUUCCCAUGAAUCACUAGACAUCGUAAUGCUCCGAGUUGAAUACAAAUUUUGUAUUUGCGAUUCUGCAUGUUGCAAAUGUGGUACAAUUAUUUCUAAAAGUACAUAGAUGCAUUAGACAACGUUCUAACAAUACAAUGUACGAUUUAUUAUAUAUAAAAAAGGAAAAAACGAUUACUUUUCAGUAUAGGAGGAUUUCUAGUACAUUGUAAUUUAAUAUUAAUAGGUCUUCCGUGUUGAACGUAUACAUUAAUCAUUUCUUCCUUCUCACAGAAAUCUUCGGUGUAAAAAUAAACAAUUAAUUUAACUUGCAUUCCUGGAGCGAUAAAAUUACUUUUUAGUUUUUUAUUUUGUACUUCAACUCGAAAUUUAGAAUAAAAAGUCGUAGGCUUUAUUUGAAAUCUUGUUAGAUAAUUACUCUUGUUUGUUAAUAUUACAUUUUUCUGUAAGAAAAAUAACAUAAGUUUCGUAAUUACAGUUGUAAUAGUUGCAACCAAAACGUGUCUAUAUCCAAUAUAAAUAUGAUGAAAAUAAUUUAAUAUCAUAUACGUACUCUGUAUAAAGAAUAUCUUUGAAAAUUAUGGAAACAGACAUGAUCAGGUUUUGCUAUUAAAAUGGAUCUAUAUGAUUCUGUUUUGUAUGUACUUUUUCUGCGUUCUUUAAAUAUAGUGCAAUUCAUUUCACUUUGUUUUCUAUAAUAAUUUCUGCAUUAAUAUAAGAUUUAUGCAAUGAGGUCGCAAAAGAAUGUACCUUCUCAUAAAUGAUUCCUUUAUAAAAUUAUUUUGAAUAACUGGCUUUAUCUUUAUCGUCGAAGGAAUAAAUUUCAUCAAU